UACGGGGGGGGCAAGCGUUGUUCGGAAUUACUGGGCGUAAAGGGCUCGUAGGUGGCCAACUAAGUCAGACGUGAAAUCCCUCGGCUUAACCGGGGAACUGCAUCUGAUACUGGAUGGCUUGAGUUUGGGAGAGGGAUGCGGAAUUCCAGGUGUAGCGGUGAAAUGCGUAGAUAUCUGGAGGAACACCGGUGGCGAAGGCGGCAUCCUGGGCCGAACCUGACGCUGAGGCGCGAAGGCUAGGGGAGCGAACGGG
rnacentral:rRNA from 1 species